UAGACACAGUUGUGCGCAACGCGGACAGGUCGGGAGAUGAUGAGCAACUUGCCGCUAUCACAUUGCCAUAACAACCGAUGGCAAGCAGCAUGCGAGAUGAAAUAAUUGCCCACUCAAAAGGUGAUGCACCGCUGAAGGGAGGAACACAAUCAUCUCACCGAAAUGAUUAAACGGAAGUGUUUAUGAAAACGACAAAGCCAGCAAUUUACGUCAAAUAGAUAAUCCAGCAGUUAGAUCAUUGCAGUUGCAACCCCCGACGGUUGGUUGUCGGUCAAACGGACAACAAGGCAGACAUAAAGGAUUAAACACAAGCUACAGCCUGUGUGCUACCGUUACAUUUGUGGAGGACUGAUGGACACUGACUGAAGGUUCUCUGUUUCGUCUCGAGCUAACACAUGGUUCUGAGCUUCACGAGCAGGAAGCGUGUAACUCCAAGCGUGGGAAAACGGCAUAGCUCAGGGGCUGUGAGACGCAUAGAGCUUCGUUUGCCCCGUUUUUUUCGGUUUCAUCACCAUGGCUCGGGAGAAUAGAGACUCCGGGAAAGGGUCGUGGAAAAAACAAGUGGACGACAUAAAGAUAAUAUUUGAAUUGAAAGAGAUCCUCGGAACGUAAGUAGCCUACUAAGUGGUGUUGGCCCAGGAGAGGGCCACAGACGGAUGUUUGCUGUCAAGUGCAUCCCCAAGAAGGCUCUGAAGGGGAAGGAAAGCAGCAUCGAGAACGAGAUCGCCGUCCUCCGCAAGAUCCAGCACGAGAACAUUGUGGCCCUGGAAGAUAUAUGAGAGCUCCAACCACCUCUACCUGAUUAUGCAGCUGUGAGUAUCUGGCAGACACACACCAACACCACACCUUUCUCUCC